rnacentral:lncRNA from 1 species
GGCUUGAAGAGAUCUCCAGGAGUGGUGACUCUCAUCUGCUCCAAGAUGAACCCACUGUGGACCCUCCUCUUUGUGCUCUCAGCCCCCAGAGGGGUCCUGUCCCAGGUGCGGCUGCAGGAGUCGGGACCCAGCCUGAUGAACCCACUGUGGACCCUCCUCUUUGUGCUCUCAGCCCCCAGAGGGGUCCUGUCCCAGGUGCGGCUGCAGGAGUCGGGACCCAGCCUGGUGAAGCCCUCACAGACCCUCUCCCUCACCUGCACGGUCUCUGGAUUCUCAUUAACCAGCUAUGGUGUAGGCUGGGUCCGCCAGGCUCCAGGAAAGGCACUGGAGUGGGUUGGUAACAUAUAUAGUGGUGGAAGUACAUACUAUAACCCGGCCCUGAAAUCCCGGCUCAGCAUCACCAGGGACACCUCCAAGAGCCAAGUCUCCCUGUCACUGAGCAGCGUGACAACUGAGGACACGGCCGUGUACUACUGUGCAAGAGACACAGCGAGGGGAAGUCAGUGUGAGCCCAGACAAAAACCUCCCUGCAUAGAGGCCCGUGCCCACCAGGGGGCGCUCAGGACUCAGUACAGAGCAGCGCCCAGGAGCAGGGAAAGAGCUCCUCAGUGCACAUGUCUCUUCAAGCUCCAGGGUAAAACCCACCCCGGGCUGUGGGAGCUCAGCCCUCUCUGCUCACACAGGAUGGAGGCCUCAGUGAAGGCAGAGCUGCUGUGUAGAAGCUGAGGCUUUGGGGUCUUCUCCUCUGCCUGGUGGCAGUUCCCCAUGGGGGAGGCCUCGGGCAUCAGACACGCAUCUGUGGGAUUAUUGUGCCAGCAGGUGACUGACUGGGUUUGAGUCUUCCUGUCCCGGGUGUCCUGUCCCAGGUGAAGGUGCAGGAGUCGGGCCCUGACCUGCUGAAGCCCUCACAGACCGUCUCCCUCACAUCUGCUGCCUCUGGUUACUCCAUCACGUGGUUAUGGAGGGAGCUGGAUCCACCAGGCCCCAGGGAAGGGGCUAGAGUGGAUGGGAAGCAUAUAUUAUAAUGGUGACACUCACGACGCCCCUCCAUCAAGAGCCACACCUCCAUCUCCAGGGACACGUCCAAGAUCCAGUUCUCCCUGCAGCCGAGCUCUGUGACCUCUGUGGACACAGCUGUGUAUUACUGUGCAAGAGACACAGUGAGGGGUGUCCGUGUGAGCCAGACACUAGCCACCCUCCGGGGGGCCCCACGACCACCAGGGCUUGUGGGACACACGAGCACAGGGCUGAGCCCAGGGCAGGUGCCCCGGGCUGGAGGGGAUUCCUGGAGAGCCUGUGCUUCCUCUCCUGCCCAGGAGCCCACCAGAGACCGACCUCUGUGUCCUAACGUCUCCACUGCUGGCCUUUAUGCACACUCGGCACACUGUGGGAAUAUGCAUAUGUUUUGCAGUUUUAAUUUUCUGUUGAAGUAAGAUUAAUUUUUUACGUGCAUAAUACUCAGGAAUUAUGGAUAAUUUCUGGGUUACUUUUCUUCUCCUCAAAGGAUCUCAGCAUACACCUGAGCCCAUCCCCAUUUGCCUGGUGAGUCUGAAUCUUGAAAUGUAUGAAUGUUCUGAGAAGACACAGGAGAUUUUCCUUGCUGCAGUUUUUGUUGUUUUUGUACAUGUGGAAGGAAGAGACUCCCUCUCCUUCUUUCAGUGAAACUGCACACACAGGUAGGAUUCUGCAGUGUCCAGUGUUGUAGGUGCUGGUGCAGAGAGACCCA